rnacentral:rRNA from 1 species
UACGUAGGGGGCUAGCGUUGUCCGGAAUCAUUGGGCGUAAAGAGCGUGUAGGCGGCCCGGUAAGUCCGCUGUAAAAGUCAAAGGCUCAACCUUUGAAUGUCAGUGGAUACUGCCGGGCUAGAGUCCGGAAGAGGCGAGUGGAACUCCUGGUGUAGCGGUGGAAUGCGCAGAUAUCAGGAAGAACACCAACGGCGAAGGCAGCUCGCUGGGCCGGUACUGACGCUGAGACGCGAAAGCGUGGGGAGCGAACAGG